UCAAACGCAGAGAGUGGACUGAGAUUUAGU
rnacentral:piRNA from 1 species